CUACGGGUUGCUCCAGUGGGGAAUAUUGGACAAUGGGGGAAACCCUGAUCCAGCAAUGCCGCGUGUGUGAAGAAGGCCUGCGGGUUGUAAAGCACUUUCGGUUGGGAGGACUGCUUCUAGCACUAAUAUUGUUGGAAGUUGACGUUACCUUCAGAAGAAGCACCGGCUAACUCCGUGCCAGCAGCCGCGGUAAUACGGAGGGUGCAAGCGUUAAUCGGAAUUACUGGGCGUAAAGCGCGCGUAGGCGGCUAGAUCAGUCGGGUGUGAAAGCCCCGGGCUUAACCUGGGAACUGCAUCCGAUACUGGCUAGCUUGAGUACAGGAGAGGAGAGUGGAAUUCCACAUGUAGCGGUGACAUGCGUAGAUAUGUGGAGGAACACCAAUGGCGAAGGCAGCUCUCUGGCCUGAUACUGACGCUGAGGUGCGAAAGCGUGGGAAGCAAACAGGAUUAGAUACCCCUGUAGUC
rnacentral:rRNA from 1 species